rnacentral:rRNA from 15 species
ACAAUGGAUUACUCGGCUAACAAUACGAUGAAGAUCGUAGCAAAGUACGAAAAUGUGAUGUAAGUUGCAAUAAUGUGAUUCAUCUCUUAUCGAACGCAAAUUGCGGUGAUUGUUUC